rnacentral:lncRNA from 1 species
GGAGACCUCAUUUUUUAUCUAACCUCUCUUUUUUCCAGUACAGCGUCAUUACCAUGGAGAUUCAUUUUACUGAUUACAUAUAUAGGAUCCAAAUAACAUGCAGUAAGAAAAAACAAAACAGAACAUCUUGGCUAAAACUGCCCACCUCCUUACCCCAAGCUUGAUGCCAGCUGAAGAGUCCCAGGAGACCAGUUGGCUUAGCCCGGGUCAGAGGCCCUGGAUGGGAGUGGAUGAUUGGUAGCCAUCAUUUGCACCCGAUGGUUAGAGUGUGAGAGAAGCAGUUUUCCUGAAGAAGAGAGGUGGUGUCCUCAGAAAAGAGGAAGGGGACAAGGUUGUGAAAGCAAUAAAUGCUGACGCAAAAGAGGGUUAAACUAAGUUAUUCUGGUUCUCUCCCUGCAUUUGGUCAGUUCCUGUAACGCAAACCAUUCUAG